GGAAAUAUGCCCGAAAAUUAAGGGUCACUUUGAUAGAGUGAACAAUAGGGGCUCAAAUCCCCCUUAUUUCC
rnacentral:tRNA from 1 species